rnacentral:sRNA from 1 species
GCCAGGCUUGGUGGCACAUACCUGUAAUCCCAGUGACUUGGGAGGCUGAAGCAGGAGGAUUGCAAGUUUGAAGACAGCCAAACCAGCAACCCAGUGAGGCUUUAAGCAACUUAGUGAGAUCCUGUCUCGA